rnacentral:lncRNA from 1 species
CUAUACCAUUAUUGUUUAACACUAUACUAUAUUAAAAGUUAAUAUGGUUAAAACUGAAAUUCGCAUACAAACCAAUAACCCUUACAAAAGAAACUCUAUACCGUUUAAAAAAAAUUGCAAAACACCCCAUAAAAAGACACAUAAACCCAACAUCCAACCCCAACACCCCAAACAACCCUUCAUCAACACUAAACUCAAUACCUUUACACACGUUAACAUUUCCACCUAAGCACAACAAACCAAUCCGUAGGGAAAACUAAACCCAAAUCCCCACCCCACCCCCCUAAACCCUAAAUCCAAUACAAUAUCCCCUUUUAAUAAUACAAAACCUAAAUAUAUAACACCCCCAC